UAUGUGAUCGUCUCUCGCAUAUCAAUAAGCGGAGGAAAAGAAACUAACAAGGAUUCCCCUAGUAACGGCGAGUGAAGCGGGAAGAGCUCAAAUUUGAAAUCUUAAAGGGUUUCCCUUUACGAAUUGUAGUUUAAAGAAGUGUUUUCUGUUGAGGUUUUGGUAAAAGUUCUUUGGAAUAGGACAUCAUAGAGGGUGAGAAUCCCGUAUUUGACCUUUACUUUCAACUUUGUGAUACACUUUCAAAGAGUCGGAUUGUUUGGGAAUGCAGUCCAAAAUGGGUGGUAAAUUUCAUCUAAAGCUAAAUAUUGGCGAGAGACCGAUAGCGAACAAGUACCGUGAGGGAAAGAUGAAAAGAACUUUGAAAAGAGAGUUAAACAGUACGUGAAAUUGUCAAAAGGGAAGCGUUUGACACCAGUGUUGUUUUUCUGAAAAUCAAUUAAAGAACUGUUUAUGCUAAGUUGUUUAGACUUUAUCAGCUAACUGUUUAGUUUUGAGCUUUUCUUUAAUGCACUUUUCAGUUAACAAGUCAACAUCAAUUUCUUUUGCUGUAAAAAAGCUUGAGGAAGGUGGCUUGAGAUUCGUCUUAAGUGUUUAUAGCCUCUCGCCUAUGCAGUCGGAGAGAUUGAGGUCUGCAGCGUAGAUCCUUCGGGGCUAAAUGCAUUUGUGCUAAGUUAUAGCAUUUUAUAGACAACUUGUUGACUAUGAUUUGUCUUGUAGCUUACUCGCUUAUGUUAUUUUACCUACGCUUAGGAUGUUGACUGAUAUGUAGUCGUA
rnacentral:rRNA from 1 species